AGUGAACGCUGGCGGUAGGCCUAACACAUGCAAGUCGAACGGCAGCACAGUAAGAGCUUGCUCUUACGGGUGGCGAGUGGCGGACGGGUGAGGAAUACAUCGGAAUCUACUUUUUCGUGGGGGAUAACGUAGGGAGACUUACGCUAAUACCGCAUACGACCUACGGGUGAAAGCAGGGGAUCUUCGGACCUUGCGCGUUUGAAUGAGCCGAUGUCGGAUUAGCUAGUUGGCGGGGUAAAGGCCCACCAAGGCGACGAUCCGUAGCUGGUCUGAGAGGAUGAUCAGCCACACUGGAACUGAGACACGGUCCAGACUCCUACGGGAGGCAGCAGUGGGGAAUAUUGGACAAUGGGCGCAAGCCUGAUCCAGCCAUACCGCGUGGGUGAAGAAGGCCUUCGGGUUGUAAAGCCCUUUUGUUGGGAAAGAAAAGCAGCAGGUUAAUACCCCGCUGUUCUGACGGUACCCAAAGAAUAAGCACCGGCUAACUUCGUG
rnacentral:rRNA from 1 species